rnacentral:rRNA from 1 species
UUUAGCAGGGAAGAAGCGAAAGUGACGGUACCUGCAGAAAAAGCGCCGGCUCAACUACGUGCCAGCAGCCGCGGUAAUACGUAGGGCGCAAGCGUUAUCCGGAAUUAUUGGGCGUAAAGAGCUCGUAGGCGGUUUGUCGCGUCUGCUGUGAAAUCCCGAGGCUCAACUUCGGGUCUGCAGUGGGUACGGGCAGACUAGAGUGCGGUAGGGGAGAUUGGAAUUCCUGGUGUAGCGGUGGAAUGCGCAGAUAUCAGGAGGAACACCGAUGGCGAAGGCAGAUCUCUGGGCCGUAACUGACGCUGAGGAGCGAAAGGGUGGGGAGCAAACAGGCUUAGAUACCCUGGUAGUCCACCCCGUAAACGUUGGGAACUAGUUGUGGGGUCCAUUCCACGGAUUCCGUGACGCAGCUAACGCAUUAAGUUCCCCGCCUGGGGAGUACGGCCGCAAGGCUAAAACUCAAAGGAAUUGACGGGGACCCGCACAAGCGGCGGAGCAUGCGGAUUAAUUCGAUGCAACGCGAAGAACCUUACCAAGGCUUGACAUAUACGAGAACGCUGCAGAAAUGUAGAACUCUUUGGACACU